rnacentral:rRNA from 1 species
AGAGUUUGAUCCUGGCUCAGGAUGAACGCUAGCUACAGGCUUAACACAUGCAAGUCGAGGGGCAGCAUGAACUUAGCUUGCUAAGUUUGAUGGCGACCGGCGCACGGGUGAGUAACACGUAUCCAACCUGCCGAUGACUCGGGGAUAGCCUUUCGAAAGAAAGAUUAAUACCCGAUGGCAUAGUUCUUCCGCAUGGUGGAACUAUUAAAGAAUUUCGGUCAUCGAUGGGGAUGCGUUCCAUUAGGUUGUUGGCGGGGUAACGGCCCACCAAGCCUUCGAUGGAUAGGGGUUCUGAGAGGAAGGUCCCCCACAUUGGAACUGAGACACGGUCCAAACUCCUACGGGAGGCAGCAGUGAGGAAUAUUGGUCAAUGGACGAGAGUCUGAACCAGCCAAGUAGCGUGAAGGAUGACUGCCCUAUGGGUUGUAAACUUCUUUUAUACGGGAAUAAAGUGAGCCACGUGUGGCUUUUUGUAUGUACCGUAUGAAUAAGGAUCGGCUAACUCCGUGCCAGCAGCCGCGGUAAUACGGAGGAUCCGAGCGUUAUCCGGAUUUAUUGGGUUUAAAGGGAGCGUAGGCGGACGCUUAAGUCAGUUGUGAAAGUUUGCGGCUCAACCGUAAAAUUGCAGUUGAUACUGGGUGUCUUGAGUACAGUAGAGGCAGGCGGAAUUCGUGGUGUAGCGGUGAAAUGCUUAGAUAUCACGAAGAACUCCGAUUGCGAAGGCAGCUUACUGGAUUGUAACUGACGCUGAUGCUCGAAAGUGUGGGUAUCAAACAGGAUUAGAUACCCUGGUAGUCCACACAGUAAACGAUGAAUACUCGCUGUUUGCGAUAUACAGUAAGCGGCCAAGCGAAAGCGUUAAGUAUUCCACCUGGGGAGUACGCCGGCAACGGUGAAACU